rnacentral:misc_RNA from 1 species
GAUGAAGAACGCAGCGAAAUGCGAUAAGUAAUGUGAAUUGCAGAAUUCAGUGAAUCAUCGAAUCUUUGAACGCACAUUGCGCCCGCCAGUAUUCUGGCGGGCAUGCCUGUUCGAGCGUCAUUACAACCCUCAGGCCCCCGGGCCUGGCGUUGGGGAUCGGCGGAGCCCCCCGUGGGCACACGCCGUCCCCCAAAUACAGUGGCGGUCCCGCCGCAGCUUCCAUCGCGUAGUAGCUAACACCUCGCGACUGGAGAGCGGCGCGGCCACGCCGUAAAACACCCAACUCUUCUGAAGUUGACCUCGAAUCAGGUAGGAGUACCCGCUGAACUUAAGCAUAUCAAUAAGCGGAGGA